GAGAAGGAUAAAUAGUUCAAACACCUUUAAUAUUCUAUCCAUUAUUUUUUUGGUUUUUAUAUAUAAAAAUAGGAAUAAAAAAGAGAAAAACAAAAGUCACAUAGAGAACCAGAAAGAGGAACUGGAAUUGGACACUUGAGUAUGAAUGUUUUUAACGGUAAACAUUUCCAUAUCUCACAGACGGUGAUUUUUCUUUUUUCCGGAAAACGUUCUUUCUCAUAGAGAAACAUGGACGCAAUUUUUGAUAGAGUUUGAUUAGGAGAAGUCUGAUUUUAGAGAGGAUUUUUUUCUUUCUUUUUGUCUCGUGUCCGAUCUCCAUCAUUAUUAUCGAAUCAAGUCUCCACCGAGGAUAUAGAUUGGCGGACAGAAUUUACGGUGAACUAAAAUUUUAAUGAUGUUAUGGCACAUAGAAAUCGAUCUUGGCCCUUGGGAAGGAAAAUGAGCAUGCAAACCAUGAGAACAAGCAUGCUUUUUAGAUUAUUUGAGCCUUCUAAUAUUUUAAAAAGAACAAAAUAGCGAAAUAAGAGUAGUGCAUAUAUGGAAUUGGACCUCAAACCUUAUUUUUAAAGAAACCGAGCAAAGAGACCAUCAGAACAAGCUGCUUUUGUGUUAUUUUGGGAUCUUUUGUUCAUCUAACAUUUUAUUCAUUUUUAACAAAAAAAAGAAAAAUGUGUUAUUUGGGGAUCUUUUGUCCAUCUAACACGUUUAGAUAUUAGGUAAAGAUAACAUUUUAUUUAUUUUUAACCAAAAAAAUGAAAAUAGCAUUGAUAGGGAUCGAACCCAAAACCUACUGAAUGAGAAGAACAAGUCGUAACACCGCACCACUAUUUUUGGUAUA
rnacentral:lncRNA from 1 species